rnacentral:rRNA from 1 species
UACUCCUACGGGAGGCAGCAGUGGGGAAUAUUGGACAAUGGGCGCAAGCCUGAUCCAGCCAUACCGCGUGGGUGAAGAAGGCCUUCGGGUUGUAAAGCCCUUUUGUUGGGAAAGAAAUCCAGCUGGUUAAUACCCGGUUGGGAUGACGGUACCCAAAGAAUAAGCACCGGCUAACUUCGUGCCAGCAGCCGCGGUAAUACGAAGGGUGCAAGCGUUACUCGGAAUUACUGGGCGUAAAGCGUGCGUAGGUGGUCGUUUAAGUCCGUUGUGAAAGCCCUGGGCUCAACCUGGGAACUGCAGUGGAUACUGGGCGACUAGAGUGUGGUAGAGGGUAGCGGAAUUCCUGGUGUAGCAGUGAAAUGCGUAGAGAUCAGGAGGAACAUCCAUGGCGAAGGCAGCUACCUGGACCAACACUGACACUGAGGCACGAAAGCGUGGGGAGCAAACAGGAUUAGAUACCCUGGUAGUCCACGCCCUAAACGAUGCGAACUGGAUGUUGGGUGCAAUUUGGCACGCAGUAUCGAAGCUAACGCGUUAAGUUCGCCGCCUGGGGAGUACGGUCGCAAGACUGAAACUCAAAGGAAUUGACGGA